rnacentral:rRNA from 1 species
AGAACGAACGCUGGCGGCAUGCCUAAUACAUGCAAGUCGAACGAACUCUUCGGAGUUAGUGGCGCACGGGUGCGUAACGCGUGGGAAUCUGCCCCUUGGUUCGGAAUAACAGUUGGAAACGACUGCUAAUACCGGAUGAUGACGAAAGUCCAAAGAUUUAUCGCCAAGGGAUGAGCCCGCGUAGGAUUAGCUAGUUGGUGAGGCAAAGGCUCACCAAGGCAACGAUCCUUAGCUGGUCUGAGAGGAUGAUCAGCCACACGUGGGACUGAGACCACGGCCCAGACCUCCGU